rnacentral:rRNA from 1 species
UACGGGGGGGGCAAGCGUUGUUCGGAAUUACUGGGCGUAAAGGGCUCGUAGGCGGCCAACUAAGUCGGAUGUGAAAUCCCCAGGCUUAACCUGGGAACUGCAUCCGAUACUGGAUGGCUUGAAUCCGGGAGAGGGAUGCGGAAUUCCAGGUGUAGCGGUGAAAUGCGUAGAUAUCUGGAGGAACACCGGUGGCGAAGGCGGCAUCCUGGACCGGCAUUGACGCUGAGGAGCGAAAGCCAGGGGAGCGAACAGG